rnacentral:rRNA from 1 species
UACGGGGGGGGCAAGCGUUGUUCGGAAUUACUGGGCGUAAAGGGCUCGUAGGUGGCCAACUAAGUCAGACGUGAAAUCCCUCGGCUUAACCGGGGAACUGCGUCUGAUACUGGAUGGCUUGAGUUCGGGAGAGGGAUGCGGAAUUCCAGGUGUAGCGGUGAAAUGCGUAGAUAUCUGGAGGAACACCGGUGGCGAAGGCGGCUCUCUGGGCCUUACCUGACGCUGAGGAGCGAAAGCGUGGGUAGCGAACAGG